rnacentral:rRNA from 1 species
CAGAGGGCGCGAGCGUUGUCCGGAAUCACUGGGCGUAAAGGGCGCGUAGGUGGCCACUAUAAGGCCGCGGUGAAAGUUCGGGGCUCAACCCCGAAUCUGCCGCGGCGACUGUAGGGCUUGGGCACUGUAGAGGCAGAUGGGAAUUCCGGGUGUAGCGGUGGAAUGCGUAGAGAUCCGGAAGAACACCAGUGGCGAAGGCGGUCUGCUGGGCAGUGGGAGCGCAAGCUCCUCUUAGCCGACACUGAGGCGCGACAGCGUGGGGAGCAAACAGGAUUAGAUACCCUGGUAGUCCACGCCGUAAACGAUGGGCACUAGGUGCUUUGGGGAGCGACCCCCGGGGUACCGGCGCUAACGCAUGAAGUGCCCCGCCUGGGGAGUACGGCCGCAAGGCUG